CCCUGCCCUCAGGUGUUGGGGUGUGGGCUUGGGGCAAGUCUCUGUGGGUUGGUGAGUUUAGUUCAGGUUCAAACAUGGGGGGAAAUGAGCUCACCUGUUUCUGCCUCUUUGCAGGGCCCUACACUGACAGGCAGUGCCAUGCUGUCCAAGUUCCAGAGUCCUGGUGCUGCUCCAAGGCCACCAGACUUGCAGAGAAGAUGGUUUUGUUUAGUUUGCUUAUAUGAAGAAAAAAGUCUGGCAAAAUAGAGAUUUGGAAAGGGGAGGGGGGAGCAGGAAGUCUUCCUGUUGGCAUUUAUUAGAAGGGAAAUGAAUGUUUUAUGUUCAGGGGCCCUGCUGGAUGUGCAGUGCUCGGGGACAGUGGUUUGGUGAAAGCCUCCUGACUUCUUGUGUGUGGGGUGUGAAUGUGAUCUGGAAUAAGCAAGAAAGGGCUAAAUUUAGAAGCUGCUGGCUCCCAUCCUGCAAUGGCGGCUCUGCCCUCACUGCAGUCCUGGAGGCAGCAAGUUCUGCCUAUUGUUCCGGUCACAUUCUUGUGUCCCACGAUGGGGCCUCUGUGAUGGAAUAAAAUGAAGAGAAACAGAUGGGAAAACAAUAACCCAAGGAACAGGCCCUGAGCUUUGCUGGAAGCCUCCAGAAACCCAUAAAUCCCCAAAUGCAUUUGUGCUGGAUUAGGGAACUGAAGCAAAGCAACGGCCAAGUACUUGCCGUCCUGUAUCACAUGUGCUCUUGUUGCACAGAGACAGCUCUCUAUGGGAGCCCUACCUUGCAACAAAUGACUGUAGUGGCAGCUCUGUUUCCGUAAUCUUUUACUUCUGGCAACUUCCCCAGCUGUCCUUUUUCUGCACUCCCUGACCUUUUUGUCUUGCAGGCCUUGGGGUAAAGUGGCAGCACAAGAAGCCAGCCCACCUUUCCCUCUUUCUCAUGAACAACUGAGCCGGCUGCAAGCAAAACCUGGUGGGACCCUUGCAAGGCAGUGGUGCAGUCUCUCUGGGUUGCUGUAUAUUUUCAGGAUCCCCUGCAUCUGUGAGGAACAGCUCUGCUGCCAACUUCACGAUACUCCCGUCUUCAUGGAGGAAAGACUUCUGAGCCUGCUGAGAGUCACCCAGUUGCAUGGGAUGGUGGCAGGGAUGUGACUACAGAGAAGAGCAUAUGCUUGUCUCCUGGGAGCCCCCACAGCUCUGCAGAAGCACUCUCAAUAGCUCCCAAUGGGCUGUUGGCUUUUCAUUCUCUGAGGACACAUGGUGACAUUUCAUUCCUCUGAGGUCAACUGAUUGUGAUCUUAACCUACCAGAGAACAUGUAUUCUUCACUGCUUUACAAGAUACCUGCUCACUCUGGUACAGCCCAGGAUCAGACACUCAAGCUAAGAUGUGAAAGUUCCUAUCUCCAGAUGCAGCCCCACAGAUCUUCAGCCUCCUUCCCUCUCAGCUUUGGACUGUUGGCUCUUCUUGGAUAGACGCGUGGAGUUGGGUUUGCUCUAAGCUGUGGGAAGCACCUUUCUUUAUCCUUUAAUUUAUUUUUUUUGAGGGGGAGGGGUUUGAAUUUACGCCACGUCAAAUGUUAAAUAAUCAGUCCUUGAAAUACAUUGCAAAAGGGCCAAUAUUUGUCUCUGGAUGACUUUAAAUUCAUGACUGAGAGAGGGGGAAUCCUUCCAAGACAUUAAGUAGGAAAAUUGGUAUCUGCCCUUGGAUUGUGAAAGUUUCUGCCUCUGAAGGGGCUUCCUGAGACUCCUCUCAAGACCUGCCCACUGUUGUAACUUGCAGUGAGCCAAAAUGCUUCUCGCCAUGAUUGUGUGGCUGCUCAAGGGAGCCAGGCCUGGACAACUGCAUGAGGUUUUAGAUCUGAUUUAGCAAUUGGUAACCAGUGCCCAAAAUCGUGGCACAAGUUGAAGCACCUAAGAAAUCUGGGUUUGGGACUGGUAAAGCAUGGUUCUGCUUGAAGGUUUGCUAACAUAUGGGCAACUGGAAGGAGCAGUUUGCCUCAAUUCCUGUACCUACAUUUGGGCAAGGCUUCUGAUUGAUAGGAAUGAGCCCAGCUGGUUUCAAGAGUGAAAUCUUGUCUGUUUCAUCUGUAGGAGGUAAGAGCUCUAGGUACUGUUCAUUACUUUUUUUUUUGUUGAGAAAUAAGUCUUUCACCUCCAAAAUAAAAAAGCGCUCUUGUGUUUGUGUGUGAACUCCCACAAAUUGGAAAGGUCAAAUCUCUUGCUUUUCCUGUCCCCAGUGCAGUUUGUAGGGAGCUGCCUUUGCUUGCCCACAUCUCCAGCUUCCCUAAAGGGCUGUGUUUGCAAAGCUCUUCAUGUCUGACCAGCUGAGCUCUGAUUCAGAUUUAUGCACAGAUUGUUUGAAGUUCAGGCAUAAAACGUACGAGGGUUGAUUUUAUUUUGGUUUUCCUUUUUAAGGGGGGCUAGGAGUCCAGACUGCCAGAAUCGAUUGGACUGACUUGUAUAUCUUCUCUUCUGAAGCCAGCUGACAGUUUUAAACCAUUUUUAAAUCAAACCUGUAUGGUUAAGAUUUACUGGGGGCUUUUUAGAAAUGAAAUGCAAAAUAUGGUGCUCUCCACAUGGAAGACAAAUUCUUGAUUCUGGCUUCCUGUGCGUUGACAGAAAUGUGGGGCUUUCAGGUACAUAUUUAUAUGUACAUGCUACUGAGCCCUGCAGCGGUGAUAGACACUUCCAAAUGGCCCUGCUCAGAAAGGGGAGGUAUCUUAGUGUUUGAAGGCAGAUCCUGUAAACCUUUUAAAUUUAUGGGAACAAGGGCCCUGAAGUGGGUGAAUGAGACAGGUACCUGUAAAUAUAAUGAGCUAGUCUUGCACGUAGAAUAGCUGAAUUUAGCUUUAUAAAUAACAGCAGCCUUUUAGGUUUCCUAGGAGGUCUGGCAGUCUUACAAAUGAAUGUGCUGCUAGUUGUCAGAGACCAGACACCAGAAAGCUGUCCAUGAGUGCUGUUGGCCCACUGUGUCUUUCCUGCCUCCAUUCCCUCUCUCUUGGUGGUUUGGGAUUUUUUUUUUGCUGUGUUUGGUUACUGAAACACAGACCCUGCCUGGCCUGCAGUCUCUCACUGUUGCUUGCUGAAGAUGAAUGAUUCAUCAAGCCUGGCCUGAUAAAAUUGUGCAAGCCAGUCACCAAAGUUAAUCAAACCAAAAGAAAGAGAGGAGAGAAGGGAAAAACAAAAACAAAAGGUGCCAGAACUAGUUGUAAUUUUUGAACCUCCCUUGGGAAUGUAGAAUAGUAUAUGUAAUGUUCUCAGCCUGGGUUCUCCAUCCUCCUCCAACCUUAUUGGGAAAUCUGAGAGCAACCCAGGCGAUCGGUUUUAAAGUGCAACUUCCGAUGUUGCAAUGCAGAAGAGCAUGAUUCAACAGGCCUCUGACUGCGGUCCGACGUCUCAUUCACGGCGCCUUAUUUGUUAAUAGCACUGGGGAGCAGGCGGCUGUGGUUGCAACCUGCUAAUCACUUCCACUGGGAUUUGUUGUGUCACACCAGCAAGGAUUGAGGUGAGGGGGCUGAGGAGCUGCUGACAUGAAUCGUGGUGCUCUGAUGUAUAAUUAGGAAGGAGCCCUGUGGUUCUCAGUGCACUGGUGAGAUUUCUCAGGCCUGAAACAUAAUAAAGACUGCCACCCACUUUAGCAGUGAAUUAGCAUCAUCCUUGCUGGUCCUAAAAGAGGCUAGGCACUUGCUGGAGGCCUGGUUGCUUGGGAUCAGGGGGAGUUGGGGUUUGGCCAGACAGGGCAAGGCUGAUAGCUAGGUCACUGCCAUAGUGGGGAGGGCAGAUCUAGGAGGAGGAAGAGUGGCAAAUAGGAGGAGAGUGCCUGGUGGUACUCUGUGUGAGGGCCAUCACUCCCUCCCUACUUGGUGCGUGGCUGUGGUAGUCCUGCUCAUGUCUGCUGUGUGACUAAAUGGAGACAGAGUUGCACAAGCAGUUGCAAUGGGGUGUGCCUCUCCUCUGCCUGCUUGCCGUGAUGCUCAAGGGGUUCCCAGGGUGCUGCUUGCAUGUCUGCAGCUGAAGAAUAUUCUUGAGUUUCUCUCAGCUGGUUGCAGCAGUUUAGUUGGAAGUGGGGUGCUGUGCAGGACCCACUGGCUUCAAGCCCAACAUGGCCACAGGCCCCUCUCAGCCACCUGUGAUGUUGGGGGUUAGCAGGAGAGGGUCACUCUUAAAAUCACCUUUUAUGCUAGUUUGUCUAGCUGUUCUUUGCAUCCUUGGUGCUUUUGGCUUCAGGAAUUAUGCAGAGCUCUAGUGAGCAUGAGGAAAUGUGUUAAACCCUGAAACCUUCACACCAACAAUGGCCUCAUUCCAGAAUCAAGAGACUAAUUAGUCAGUGAGAAUGCUUCAAGGCAUUUCAUCAAAUUCUCCUAUGAUUCUUUCUAAUCUCUGAUUCCACAUUACAAUAGAGAGGUGUUCUCUUUACUCUCUCUCAUUUUAGGUUAAUUUUAGUUUUGUUUGGUUCAGUUUUGGUAUAUUUGGUAUCUAACAAUAUUUUAUCAAAACAACAUCUCCACAUGAUUUUAAUUUAGAAUUAAAUUACUGUGAUACUGUCUGGAGAAAACCACAUGCCAGAUCCUCAGCUGCUGUGAAUCAGCAACAAUCCAUUGAUUUCAGCAAGGCAACACUGAUUUAUUCCAGGCAAGGAUCUGGCCCACCCUUGGUUAAAAGGAAAACCCAUUUCCUCACCCUGGUUACUGAAACAUUGCAUAUCAAGAUGGGAUGUGUCUAAACCACCUCCUUUUACUUUUCACCACUUGUGUAAUUUUGUUUGUGUUUUUCACUACUCAAUUUUUGCUGGGGCAGUGAAACUUUUUCUCUUGGCACAGCUGAGUUUUGGGAGGAUGGGUUUAUUGUUGCACUGAAUAGGAAAAAUGAGAUUUCUUCUGCAAAAUAAGGCUUCUGGCUGUAAUAUUUUAGUUCUUGUACAUAAUUUUCAUGCUGUACUGGGGCGGGGAGAUGUUUCUUACUGUUUUCUGUUCUUUGUAUGAUGCUUGAAGAAGCCAAGGGUUGGUGUGUGAUUGUAUUCUUCAAGUCAGAGAGCACCUGAAGAGCUGGGUACCUCUUGAGACAAAUAAGAGGAUUUCAGCUUGGCUCUUGUGCAAUUUCUCUGCAAGAAAUACCUUUCAUAGGCUAAAUGAGAGUUACUUCAUUUUUGUGAAAAAACUUCUGCUUUCCACAGAGCAGUUGUAUUUUUCUGUUGGUGCUGUCAAACUGCUUUGUUUGAACACCACAGAUGGCAGCUGCACUAUCCAUUGCAUUGCUUCCUUAUAAGGGGAGACACAAUGGCACAUGAGAGAGGAAGUCCAGCUCUGAUUUCUGACUGAAACGGUCCCAGGAGCUCUUAUGCCUGGCUCAGGGCAGGGCAACCCCAUCUGUACAUCAAGAUGGUCCACGUUUUUGACAGAAAUCCUGUUAAAGUUAGUGGUUUCUGCCUUGGUGACAUUGCAAUCUCAGACACCUUCCCAUGGCAAAAGGAAGAAACCUCCUUUUUGACAGGUAACAGGAAAAACAAUGAUGUAUAAUGUUACAGGGUGGGUGUAACUGCCACCCUUCAUUUACUGCAGUUGUAAGAAAUUAUUAACGCUCCUUUGUGGAAUCAGGGAGCUGAAACAAUGGUGGCCUCCACCCCAAGCACACAUCACUGCCCAAAACAAAGGCACAGCCCCAGCCUGCAUAGGUGUGGACAGGUUUCCUUGGCUAUGCACUUGGGAGACCCUGGCAGGAAAGGCAGGGGAGGCAGCCAGGAAAAGUCCCAGGCAGAGUAGUCAUCAGUGCUUAGUGAGCUGACUGAUGGUGAAAAGGGAGCAGAACCAGGAGCAAAUAAACUGGGUCUGGCAUGGUGGGGAAAGAUUUUGUACCUGCUUCCUACAUGAGCAGGAUUUCUGCAAAGAAAUAACUGGCACUGCUGAGAGGCAGAAUCCACAUGGAGUCAACCCAAGGCUCUGGUUAUUCACUUCUCUGAAAGAAAGUCACUAAAGAAAAUUAAAUUAGUUGGAAAACAGAAGGCAUUGGCAGGAGAACAGCCUGUUACUGGAAUGUAUUUGUUGUAUAGCAGUAAAUGGAGAAGCCUGAUUCGCCUGGUCCUGUGCAAAUCUCACUAAGCAUUUACAAACCAAGAAGUGAUGACUGACGCAGAGCAGAGGGGCAGCAGGGGGAAAGUGAAGUGCUUUAAAUCUCUCAUUUUCAUUUGGCUCAGUUCCAGAAUGACGCAGUCCACCCUAGAUUAAAAAUAACUACAGAAAGGGGUAGAGCACUAUUUUUUUUAAUCAAGCUUCAGGAUAUCUUUUGGGAACACCACAGGUUUGAUUCAGCCUCCUUAUUUAGUUUUUAUGCCAGCUUGUCAAUGGAAUUGUACCAUCGUGGCUGAAGUAAUACUGUGGUGACUUGCAGCUGUGACAAGCACCUUGGGCUGCCUUCCUCAUUUUAACAUGAAACUCUAAGAAGGACUUAGCAGUAUCCUUGUUUUUACCCAGAAAUGCUUUUCUUACAGAGGUAAGGGGCAAUAGGGCCUAAUGGAUCACUACUAGUUUGGGAGCCAAAAGGUGUGACUUCUAUCUCCCAGUGUAAGUUUUUGGGAGGACUGUUGGGAACGGGGACUGUUGCUGACUAUGGCUGUCCAUGACUGUUUCCAGUUGCCUUUGCAGGUGCAUUAGUAAAAACACCUACCCACUGUCCUUCUGAGGCUGGUUUGUGAAAAAAUAGAUCCUGGAUCAUUGCUGGCCACGUGCAGAUUUCAGCCAGAUUUGGUGAAGUGGAAGAGAACUCAAAGGUACUAACUUCCAGCUUUUUUUAAAAAAAAAAAUUUGGAAAUAAGCAGUAGCUAGAGAUCUAAUUACUUCUUCACAACCCUCAGAGGAGACAAAGUUCUGAGUGACUGGGAUGGGGUUGUUACUGUCAGGGUGCAGAGCUGCUUGAUCCUGGAGAGCCUAGAUACAGAAAUCCCUGGGACACCCAGUUACUGUACAGGACAUUUGGAUAGGUUUUCUGACUCCCUUAUCUCCUGUCUGCUUGAAAUGGGACUGUAACAAAUCCCUUUGCUUUGUACUGGUAAAUGUAAUCUCCUACAAAGCCAUCAGCUGUGGGUGGUGUGAACUGGUGUAACCAUGGGAUGAACAAACCUUUGCCUGUUUGUGCUACUGGAAGAGCUGCCUUGUUGAGCAGGGGAAGGUUGGCUUUCAUGCCUCCUCAGUAAGGUUAGAAGGCAGCUAAUAACUCCUUUCCUCAGUGGCAUGGAGCUGAUAAAAACUAGAGCUCGCCCACCCCUUUGAAAGCGGUGGCCUGGUCUUCCUGGCUCCUCAGCCUCCUGGCUGAGACAGGAAGGACAGACGUGCGGUUUGGUGGACAAACUGAAAAAUAAGGCAGAAGGGGCAAGAAUCCCCCCUUUAAGGGAUGACAAAUGAGGAAGAAGAGAUUUAGUCCCAAAUUUUGCCUUUGUUCAACUGGCAAUAUAUUAUCUUCAAGUAAUCUCAUCAACUAAACAUCAAGUUAAGUUUAAAAUGGCUGUUUCAAAAGAGUCAGGGGUUUGUAACCCUCAGACUUUUUAUUGCCGGAAUUAUUUGGAGAUUUGAAUAGCUUCAUACAUUUCUCUGUGAAUUUACUCUUUUCUAUAAAGCCAAACAAAUUACCCACCUCUCUUAUGGUUGGAUAGGACUGGCAGUGCAGCAGCCAAGGUGUGAGAGGUGCCUCGCAGAAGUGAGUGGCUGCAAGCAGACAGGACUCACUGUGCCAAUUUUCUUUGAGCACGGUGAAUAGCGCCAUAGGGUAUUAGAAAUGCUGCUGUCAUCUAAAGGAAGUUUCAUGCUGCUGCAGACCGGAAAAAAAAAAAUAUUUUCUAGGAACUCAAGCCUGAAUAACAUAACGAAUCCACACGUUUCUUUGUUUUCUUUAUCUCCUUGUGCUGCGUCACAGUGCUAUCUUUCCCCCAUCCUUUAGGGUGGCUUUGAUUGUUCCCAGUGUGUGAGCAAGUGACUGUUAGACACUUCCCUGCAAGGAGCGUACACUGGACCUACCUGCUGCCACUUUGCCUUGCAGGAAGUAUGACUCACACAGAUCCUGCUGCUUAUGUCAUGUGGGAGGCAGAAAAUGUCUUUAUCCAGCAGUGAGGUAGGAGUGACCAUUUUUAUGUAGAGAUGGGGCUUUUCAGUGGAGAUAAGGGCUUUUGCUGCUGCCAUUUAUCCUGAUGUGCAAAGCCUUCCCAUCAGAGUUGAGAUCUUCUUGUGCUAGGCAUGCACAGAUAGAAAGAGGUUGCCCUAAAUCACAAAAAACUGUCAAAAUAGUUAAGGGGAAGGCUGGGAAAAGCUGCAGAGAAUCAUUGACUGUCCCAUGUCCUUUUGGUGGGCUAGUGGCACGUGGGCCCAGCCAAGUCACUUCAGCACGCACAAAAUGAGUUUCUCAAGGGAAUAAGUGUCCAGUGCUCCUGCAGCUCAAAAGAUAUGGUUUUGGUACAUCAUUGCAAUAUUCUUAUGUGCACUCAGUGGAUGCAGCCAGAGAUGACAGCUGAGCUCAUCGUUGCUGCAGUAAUUUUUUGUUCUGUUAGUUUUCUGCCAGUUCAGUGAACUGAAUUGGCUCAUGGAAGCCUUUUCAGUGCCAGAAACAUCAGUGCAUGGAGUAACAGUGGAAUCAAGACCAGCCCUUCUGACAGAUGUAAGAUUAAGACAGCCACUCUGCUUUACUCAAUCUUCUUGCCUAUCAUUUUCCUGUCACAGGUGGGUCCCUGGGAUCCCUGAACUUGUGCAGUUUGCAACAGUCCUCCCUGGUGAGUGAAGAAGUAGAGACCAUGCUUUCCAGUACAAUCCAUGCGGCACUGUUUGGCACUGCUGAGUCUACAUGAAAGCACACAAGCAGUUUGGUCCCAGCUGGCUCUGUUAUGCCCUGCAUUCAGCCUCCAGAAAGCCUGUGUCAUGCGACAAGAGACGUUUUAGCUGGAGAAGUCAGUCACUGUUCAAGCUUGGCCCAGGUCCUUAGCCUGCACUGCAAAGGGUCCAGCAGUAGAAGAUGGUGUGUUUCCUAAGGAAAAACUGUGCAAGAUAAAGGUCUCUCAUCUUGUGAACCUUUGGGAGGGAAGAAGUGAUUUAGGCAUCUGAAGGACACAUAAUUGAAUGCUAUCCAAAAUUCACUAGCUGCCUGUUGUUGGUGAAGAUCUGAAGAUGCGGCACAUAUGCUUGGAGAGGUGGAACAUCAUGCCAUGCUAUGUACUUCAGCC